GAUCAUUACAGAAAUUAUAACAAAGCACGCGGCUCCGCGUCUUUGUAUAAAAUCUAUCCCACCCCUUUGUGAACUACCGCGCGGAGCUAGUAAAAGUCUAGUCUUAAAGGCUAGGCUUUGAAAGUUCGCGAUAAAUCUAUAUACCCCCACGAUUAAGUUUCAGAAUGUACUCUUGCGUAUAUAUCGCAAUAAAAAUACAACUUUCAGCAACGGAUCUCUUGGCUCUCGCAUCGAUGAAGAACGCAGCGAAAUGCGAUAAGUAGUGUGAAUUGCAGAAUUCAGUGAAUCAUCGAAUCUUUGAACGCAACUUGCACCCUUUGGUAUUCCGAAGGGUACGCCUGUUUGAGUGUCGUGAACUCCUCCACUCGUUUACAUUUUUUGUAAUCCGAGCUGGGAUUUGGGGGUUUUUGCGGGUUGUUCCAAUCCGCUCCCCUUAAAUGCAUUAGCGAAACAUAUCGCUCCGAUGUGAUAAGACAAAUUUACAUCGUUGCUUCUUUUCGCUUCUAACCGUCCUUCGGGACAAUACACAUCGAACUUGACCUCAAAUCAGGCGGGACUACCCGCUGAACUUAAGCAUAUCAAUAAGCGGAGGAAAAGAAACUAACAAGGAUUCCCUUAGUAACUGCGAGUGAACCGGGAAAAGCUCAAAUUUAAAAUCUGGCGGUCUUCACCGUCCGAGUUGUAAUUUAGAGAAGCGUUUUCCGCGUCGGACCGUGUACAAGUCUCCUGGAACGGAGCGUCAUAGAGGGUGAGAAUCCCGUCUUUGACACGGACAACCGGGGCUAUGUGAUACGCUCUCGAAGAGUCGAGUUGUUUGGGAAUGCAGCUCAAAAUGGGUGGUGAACUCCAUCUAAAGCUAAAUAUUGGCGAGAGACCGAUAGCGAACAAGUACCGUGAGGGAAAGAUGAAAAGCACUUUGGAAAGAGAGUGAAACAGUACGUGAAAUUGCUGAAAGGGAAACGCUUGAAGUCAGUCGCGUCUGUCGGAAUUCAGCCGUAUGGUGUACUUUCCGAUUUGACGGGCCAGCAUCACUUUCGAUCGCAGGAAAAAGGUAGAGGGAAUGUGGCACCCUUCGGGUGUGUUAUAGCCUUCUAUCGUAUACUGUGCUUGGGAGUGAGGACCCGCCU
rnacentral:rRNA from 1 species